rnacentral:rRNA from 1 species
CUCCUACGGAGGCAGCAGUGGGGAAUAUUGGACAAUGGGCGCAAGCCUGAUCCAGCAAUGCCGCGUGAGUGAUGACGGCCUUAGGGUUGUAAAGCUCUUUCGGCGGGGACGAUGAUGACGGUACCCGCAGAAGAAGCCCGGCUAACUUCGUGCCAGCCGCCGCGGUAAUUC